GUGGCCGCGGCGGGCGGCGCGGUGCUGCCGCUGCGGUUCGGCAGCGUGUCGCCCGACGACGCGGCGGUCCGUUCGGCCCUGGCCGACCACGCC
rnacentral:tRNA from 1 species